ACGGGAGGCAGCAGUGAGGAAUAUUGGUCAAUGGACGGAAGUCUGAACCAGCCAUGCCGCGUGCAGGAAUAAGGCCCUAUGGGUCGUAAACUGCUUUUGUGGUGGAGCAAUGAGGCGUACGUGUACGUCGAUGAGAGUACAUCACGAAUAAGCAUCGGCUAACUCCGUGCCAGCAGCCGCGGUAAUACGGAGGAUGCAAGCGUUAUCCGGAUUUAUUGGGUUUAAAGGGUGCGUAGGCUGUGCGGCAAGUCAGGGGUGAAAGCCCGUCGCCUAACGACGGAACUGCCUUUGAUACUGUCGCGCUGGAAUACGGAUGCCGUGGGAGGAAUGAGUAGUGUAGCGGUGAAAUGCAUAGAUAUUACUCAGAACACCGAUUGCGAAGGCAUCUCACGAAGCAGGUAUUGACGCUGAGGCACGAAAGCGUGGGGAUCGAACAGGAUUAGAUACCCUGGUA
rnacentral:rRNA from 1 species